UGCACGUUAUGAGCAGUCAGAGAAAUAUCAGUUAAAAGUGAUCAAACACACAAAUAACUGCUUUGUUGUAGCUUUGUCUUGCGGUGAAAUUGUUUGGGAACUAACUGAUUUCUCCAUACAGUGAAAUCCUUAUUUCCACACUUUGUAUCUCCAUUUUGCAGCUCCACCAGUAAAGAGGCCGCCCAGGCAAGAUCGUCACAUUGACGCCAGUCAUGGGAAAUCCUUAACGCUGAAAGGAUACUACGACAAAGAUAUUGCUUUCAUCUUCUGACAGCUGAUGGCAAACUGAUUUCCUGAAGAAAGACAGCCCCAGUGGUCCUACUAAACCCUGAAUGCAUGGGGGAGAGAGACGUUACUGAUGGUCCAUUUUUCAUCUGAACGCACUUAUACAUGGCCCAGACACUCCAGCUGGUCCUAUCAGACCCUUUAAACAAAGAAAAUGGCAUGCGUGAGCUUCAACAGAGGAGACGGCGGUGGGUAAAGAGUUUAGAGAACGCCACUAAGCAUUGAGCACCAAUAGAUCAACAAACUUUUCUGAGCCGAAUAAGAGCAAUUUAAACUCCUUAUAUGUUUAAAAAGAGCCAUCUGAGGACCAAUCUGCAGAGGAAUUCCACAAAACUCCAAAGUUUGUUGAUCUAAGCAGAAAUAAACAGACACACAAGUAAAUAUAGCAGCAAAUCCAUCUUCUAUUUUCCUCCCAUGACUUGGAGAGGAUUCAACAGAAGGGCUGUUAGACAUCUUGCUUUCUCGGGAGUCUUGCUUCUCAGCCAUUUGUACAGUUGUAUGCCAUAAAAUCAUAGUUCAUGCAGCCGCAUCCCAUCAUGCUCUCUCCUGGUAUGACAUUACAAGAUCAAAGCUCGUCAUGGAAUGAAACAAAGCUCUGAAGUUUGGAGCGAAUUAAGCCUUCGAAAGGUCAAGCAUGUUUUAAUAUGUAAAGGUAUAGAGGGCUGCGACAGCUUGAAAUGCAAAGGGAAUAUUCGCUUUUGAAGAGCACUAAGUGCAUAUUUAAACAAAAAACAAAGUGCAUUUCAGAGAGAGAGAGAGAAAUGUUUAUAAGUGUUUGGCCAUGCUUCCCUUCAGUCACUCGUGUGUUGACAGGUUGAGAAAUCAACCAAGCACGGUACCUCUGGAAACAGCAAGAGGCAACAGCCAAACAGGCUUAGGGACAAAGUCAAAUCAAAGUCAUACUCAUGCCGAUGCAACCGCAAUAGAGAUCUAAACAAGGCCUUGACCAUUAGACAACACAGAAAAGACAAAAACGUAGAAGCAAGCAAGCAAGCAACAGUUCAAGCAGAGGCAGACAGACAGAAAGAGAGAAGCAGGCAGACACUGCGGAGGGGGAAACGAGAGAGGGAUGGAUGGAAAUAGAGGGGUGGAUGAUGGG